rnacentral:rRNA from 1 species
UGCGUAGGCGGGCUAAUAAGUCAGUGGUGAAAUCUCUCGGCUCAACCGGGAAACUGCCAUUGAUACUGUUAGUCUUGAGUUCGGUUGAGGUAGGCGGAAUGUGUAAUGUAGCGGUGAAAUGCUUAGAUAUUACACAGAACACCAAUUGCGUAGGCAGCUUACUAGACCGACACUGACGCUGAGGCACGAAAGUGUGGGGAGCGAACAGGAUUAGAUACCCUGGUAGUCC